rnacentral:rRNA from 1 species
GUGUCAGCAGCCGCGGUAAUACGUAGGGGGCGAGCGUUGUCCGGAAUUAUUGGGCGUAAAGAGCUCGUAGGCGGUUCGGCAAGUCACGUGUGAAAUCUCCACGCUCAACGUGGAGGCGCCACGUGAGACUGCUGUGACUCGAGUCCGGUAGGGGAGCGUGGAAUUCCCGGUGUAGCGGUGAAAUGCGCAGAGAUCGGGAGGAACACCCGUAGCGAAGGCGGCGCUCUGGGCCGGUACUGACGCUGAGGAGCGAAAGCGUGGGGAGCAAACAGGAUUAGAAACCCCCGUAGUCC